CUCAACGUAUCCCGUAUCUGACACGCAGGGAUACGGAUACGUACAAAAUACGUGUAGAUACGCGCCCGAUACGUAUCGGAACGAAGGGAUACGUUCUUUAUUACCAAGAUACGCGUAUCAUAUUGUCGAGAUACGCGUAUCAUAUUUUUCGGAUACGUUUCAAGCAAAAUCAGAGGAUAAUCAGAAAAAAAAUCCAAUAGAUCCGCACAGAAUCGUGAUUGAUUCGAAUUAGAUAACUGAAACGAUUGUUUAACUAAAAACCAAAACGAUUUCGGACCUCAGAAAUCAGACUCAUCUGCAAUUGCUCCGUCCGUCCGUCGUCUCUAUCGUCUCCGUCUGCAACUGCUCCAUCGUCUCCAUCGUCUCCGUCUGCAACUCCUGGAAAAUGAAUCAUCCUGAUAAUCAUGCGAAUGCUAAUGUCAACCUAGUUGAGAAUGUUGAAAAUGAUCAUGGUACACUAUGACAGUAUGUCAAAAAGCUCGAAAGAGUGGAAAAUGGAAGAGGAGGUAGUGUGUUUCAAUGCAACUAUUGUCAAAAGAUUUUCAGAGGAUCCUACUCUAGGGUCAAGUUUCAUUUGUUAAAAGUGUCUGGAAAUGGGAUCGUCUCUUGCAAUAAGGUGUCUCUUGCAAUAAGGUUACUGAUGAAGCUCUUGCAGAAAUGAAAAAGCUAGCUCGAGAAUGAGGGACUCUUUCUUUUUAUUUUUUAAGUCGUUUGGAUGUUCUUUUUAGUUUUUCAAGUUUGAAGACUAAUUUGUUUAGUGGAUUAUCUUUUAAAUGUUUGAAGUUUAUCGAAAUAAAUUUGAACUUGAAUAGUAUAUUUGAAUGCUUAUUUUAUAAUAUUUAGAUAUAUUUAUUUAUUUA